GACGGAGGAUGCAAGCGUUAUCCGGAAUGAUUUGGGCGUAAAGCGUCCGCAGGUGGCAGUUCAAGUCUGCUGUCAAAGACCGGGGCUUAACUUCGGAAAGGCAGUGGAAACUGAACAGCUAGAGUAUGGUAGGGGCAGAGGGAAUUCCUGGUGUAGCGGUGAAAUGCGUAGAGAUCAGGAAGAACAUCGGUGGCGAAGGCGCUCUGCUGGACCAUAACUGACACUCAGGGACGAAAGCUAGGGGGAGCGAAUGGG
rnacentral:rRNA from 1 species